UCUCUCGUGGUCCAACGGUUCAAGACACGCGCCUGUCAUGUCGGCAAAAUCCGACGGAUCGCGCGUAACCCGGGUUCGACUCCCGGCGAGGGAG
rnacentral:tRNA from 1 species